rnacentral:rRNA from 1 species
AUCUGAUCUCAAAUCAGGNAGGACUACCCGCUGAACUUAA